rnacentral:rRNA from 1 species
ACGGAGGGUGCAAGCGUUAAUCGGAAUUACUGGGCGUAAAGCGUACGCAGGCGGUUUGCCAAGUCGGGUGUGAAAUCCCCGGGCUCAACCUGGGAACUGCACUCGAGACUGGCAGGCUAGAGUCUGGCAGAGGGGGGUAGAAUUCCAGGUGUAGCAGUGAAAUGCGUAGAGAUGUGGAGGAACACCGAUGGCGAAGGCAGCCCCCUGGGCAAAGACUGACGCUCAGGUGCGAAAGCGUGGGGAGCAAACAG